UCUUUGUUUUAUAAGUGCGUGACUCAAUGACGUUUUUAUUAAUUUGAAAAGUGGAAAAUGAAAUUUAAAGCUAGUUAAAAUAGUUAAGUGACGUGCAUCAACCACCUGCUGGCAGAACUGGAAUUUCACAAGCACAUUGCACAAAAAAUUGCCCAGAAAAAGAUAAUGGGGAGGGCAUUAAAACAUGUCGCGGCAUGCAAAUGAGAGACUAUAAAAAGAGACCAGAUCAACAGCACAUAAGGAAUAGUUAUACAUAUAAUACAAAUAAUAACUUAGUUGUGUAUAUAACUUUGUUUAUAUUCUGUAAUAAAAAAGUUGGUUAUAUGUAUCAUAGAAAGAGUUGAUUAUAUAUAUAAGUACAUGUGAAAUUUGCUUUUUAAGUUUAUAUUUAUAAUGUGCAAUGAAUAAAAAAAUUCAGUUCAA